rnacentral:rRNA from 1 species
UACCCGCAGCACAAGUGGUGGUCAUUAUUAUUGGGCCUAAAGCGUCCGUAGCUGGCUUGUUAGAUGCCUGGGUAAAUCGAUGCGCUCAACGCAUCGAAUUCCGGGUAGACCGGCAAGCUCGAGACCGGGAGAGGUGUAGGCUACUCGCGGGGUAGGGGUAAAAUCCUGUAAUCCUGCGGGGAGGACCAGUGGCGAAGGCGCUACACUAGAACGGCUCUGACAGUGAGGGACGAAGCCCUGGGGCGCAAACCGG